GUGUACAUGACACUACUUACAGGUAAACCCAAACUGGCACUGAUAUUUUCUCUCUCCGCCUUUGCGCGUGUGUGUGAGGAUAGUUAGUUGAGAAAGUAAAUAUAGCAUUAGAUGACAACUCUCUGUGAAUCUUGAGGCUCUGUACUUUGACAGUCUACAGAAAAGGACAGAACAAAUCAAUACCCAUAUGAUUUAUGCUUUUGCCUUCCUUAGUAUCUCAUAAUUCUCUUCAGCAAACCCAUUUCCGCGUAGUUUUAUGGACAAACACAAUGCUGUUUAGUCAUUUAAUUAAAAAGAAAAUGAAAAGCCUCCACACAAUCACUGCAGGCUCUAUUCUCUGCACAAUGUACAAUUUCUGUAGAAUGUAAUACAUGCAGACAUGCUCAAUGCAUCAAACUGAAAAGCUUUACAUUGUCUAUGAUCUGACUUUGUGAAUUAAGCACAAAAGAAACUGUCAUGCUUGUACCAAUAUAGAUCAAAGCAACAAUACAAAUUAUUUUCCUCAGAGAAAUGAACUUGUCUAGUGUAUGUAGUUGGUAAGAAAUGAAAAAAGAAAUGAAUCAGUGCAAUCCUAAACAAAAUUGUUAUUUGUGUUGUGUCGCACGUGUGUGUGCGUGUGUGUGUGUGUGUGUGUGUGUGUGUGUGUGUGUGUGUGUGUGUGUGUGUGUGUGUGUGUGUGUGUGUGUGUGUGUGUGUGUGUCUUAGGAUUCCAGUUCCUCCUCAUCUUCAGAGAGCUCCUCAUCCUGUUCAGACAGUGAGGAUGACAAGAAGAAGAAAAAGAAAAAGAAGAAAGAUAAGAAGAAGAAAAAGGACAAGAAAAAGAAAGAAAAGGACUCCAGCUCAUCCUCCGAUUCCGACAGCUCCUCAUCUUCCUCCUCCUCUGACAGUGACAGUGAUAAGAAAAAGAAGAAGAAGAAAAAGGAGAAGAAAGACAUGGAGAGGAAGAAAAAGAAGAAAGACAAGGGGAAGAAGAAAAAGCAGAAGGUGAAAAAGAUUGACAUGACUAAGCAUCUCUCAUGUGCCAACCACUUUAUCAGUGCCCAGAGUACAUGGAUAAAACCUGUUCUGACAGUACAACCACAGUUGUUUUUUCUGAUCUUGGGAAAGACACACAUGGAUAAAUGAAGUAAGAGGAAACCUGUAGGUAGCGCUUAGUGUCACUGUGAGGAGGAAAAGAUGUAGCGUCAUCCAGGAAGACUAUUCAAACAGAAGGGUAUUUACUGUAAUCUCUGCCCUAUUCUCUCAUUGCAGGACUGCUCCUCUGACAGUGAUGAUGAUAAGGAAAAGAAGAAGAAGAAGAAGAAGAAGAAGAAAAAGGACGAGAAGAAAAAGAAAAAAGCCAAAAAGGUGCAACAUCCCCCCCCCCCCCCCCCCCCCUCCCUACAACUCAACUGUUUUCCCCACUUGCCCUGC
rnacentral:lncRNA from 1 species